UAUUUGGGACUGGAGGGAGGGCUCCAAGACUGCUCCAUGCCAUUCAAACUUGUGGAGAAAUUUCAAGACAACGUCCUCCUGCAUCAGCAUCGUUCAAUGUGAUUAUUGAGAACUGGAGUUGCAGUAUUACACUUGUGUAAUAUGAGCCCAGCACUUGCUUCAUAGAAAUGGAUUUUAAAUGUCACCCGUCAUAUCGAAACCUUUGAAGCAGUUGUGGGCGCGUGGGACCUCCUCUGGCUUUGGUGAAGAUUUUAAUGGCGACUCUAAGGGAAGCAGUUAACUUUUCAAAACCAAAACUACAAGUGUGUAAAGAGGACAAGUGCAGUAAUUAUUGUUCUGUCAAUGUAUUUGUAACUCAAACUUCAAACCAAAAUUGUGGAUACUGUUGGUAGUUAGAUGUAAAUGGUAAAAAAUGUUUUAAGGGAAAGUUUGAUGAAUCUUAAUUUAAGCCAUGGGUAGGGCUAUCAUAUAUUUAGGGGUCAAAUGUAAUCAUUAAUGGUUUGUCAGGCAAAGAUAGGUAAAAUUGUCUCUCAAAUUUUACUGUAAGUAAUUAGAAUUGUAAAUUUGACUUUGAUUGUGUUAGACUGUGAUUGAAAAUGUUUUGUCUUUAAUCAAUUGUGUUACUUCAAAUAUUUCAUUUGUUUCUUAUCUGAUUUUCAUAGCAAGGGGAUUAAAGAGAUAGACGUAAUUCCUACCUGUUCAGCUGCCAAACAGGCUUCAGGUGCAUCACAGCCUGCUUUGUAGCCUUUCUAGCUAAUAUUCUUGGAAAUAGAGUUGCGAAUGGGAACAGGUUUUAAGCAAAGAGGGAGAGAGAAACUAAUCAACCAAGCCCACUAAAUAUUUUAUGUUACGAUUUUGAUUUCAUACAUGGCAACCUCUUUUGAAUUAACUUGAUUAUAUUCAUGAAAAACAAUUAACCUAUUUGUACAAGAUUUAAAUUUAAUUAAUCUAGUGGACUUGAUUCAUUGCUUUAACACCUCUGUUGUUCAAAACACCUUCCACCCAAGAAAAUGUGGCCUUAUAUAUGUUCCAAGAUUAGUAGCUGGGACGCUCCAAGGCAUUGAAG